rnacentral:rRNA from 1 species
CGGACGGGUGAGUAACGCGUGGAUAACCUGCCUCACACUGGGGGAUAACAGUUAGAAAUGGCUGCUAAUACCGCAUAAGCGCACAGUACCGCAUGGUACGGUGUGAAAAACCCAGGUGGUGUGAGAUGGAUCCGCGUCUGAUUAGCUAGUUGGCGGGGUAACGGCCCACCAAAGCGACGAUCAGUAGCCGACCUGAGAGGGUGACCGGCCACAUUGGGACUGAGACACGGCCCAA